GGGAACUCCAGGGAGACUGCCGGUGAUAAACCGGAGGAAGGUGGGGACGACGUCAAGUCAUCAUGGCCCUUACGAGUAGGGCUACACACGUGCUACAAUGGCGCAUACAGAGGGCAGCAAGCUAGCGAUAGUGAGCGAAUCCCAAAAAGUGCGUCGUAGUCCGGAUUGGAGUCUGCAACUCGACUCCAUGAAGUCGGAAUCGCUAGUAAUCGUAGAUCAGAAUGCUACGGUGAAUACGUUCCCGGGCCUUGUACACACCGCCCGUCACACCAUGGGAGUGGGCUGCAAAAGAAGUGGGUAGUUUAACCUUUCGAGGAGGACGCUCACCACUUUGUGGUUCAUGACUGGGGUGAAGUCGUAACAAGGUAGCGCUAGGGGAACCUGGCGCUGGAUCACCUCCUUAUACGAAGAU
rnacentral:rRNA from 1 species